rnacentral:rRNA from 1 species
UACGUAGGGUGCAAGCGUUGUCCGGAAUUAUUGGGCGUAAAGAGCUCGUAGGCGGUUUGUCGCGUCUGCUGUGAAAACUCGGGGCUUAACCCCGGGCCUGCAGUGGGUACGGGGCAGACUAGAGUGCGGUAGGGGAGACUGGAAUUCCUGGUGUAGCGGUGAAAUGCGCAGAUAUCAGGAGGAACACCGGUGGCGAAGGCGGGUCUCUGGGCCGUAACUGACGCUGAGGAGCGAAAGCAUGGGUAGCGAACAGG